rnacentral:rRNA from 1 species
AGCGAGCGCGCUAGCACUGGGUACUUGUACCUGGUGGCGAGCGGCGGACGGGUGAGUAAUGCCUAGGAAUCUGCCUGGUAGUGGGGGAUAACGCUCGGAAACGGACGCUAAUACCGCAUACGUCCUACGGGAGAAAGCAGGGGACCUUCGGGCCUUGCGCUAUCAGAUGAGCCUAGGUCGGAUUAGCUAGUUGGUGAGGUAAUGGCUCACCAAGGCGACGAUCCGUAACUGGUCUGAGAGGAUGAUCAGUCACACUGGAACUGAGACACGGUCCAGACUCCUACGGGAGGCAGCAGUGGGGAAUAUUGGACAAUGGGCGAAAGCCUGAUCCAGCCAUGCCGCGUGUGUGAAGAAGGUCUUCGGAUUGUAAAGCACUUUAAGUUGGGAGGAAGGGCAGUUACCUAAUACGUAUCUGUUUUGACGUUACCGACAGAAUAAGCACCGGCUAACUCUGUGCCAGCAGCCGCGGUAAUACAGAGGGUGCAAGCGUUAAUCGGAAUUACUGGGCGUAAAGCGCGCGUAGGUGGUUCGUUAAGUUGGAUGUGAAAUCCCCGGGCUCAACCUGGGAACUGCAUUCAAAACUGUCGAGCUAGAGUAUGGUAGAGGGUGGUGGAAUUUCCUGUGUAGCGGUGAAAUGCGUAGAUAUAGGAAGGAACACCAGUGGCGAAGGCGACCACCUGGACUGAUACUGACACUGAGGU